UGUGACGUAUAAUCUAGUGGACGGGACACUUCAACAACAACAGCGAGUCAGUCACUUCAGUAGCUUGCUAGGCGACAUGGCCUAAACAUUCAAGCUUUUUAGACUGUUUCAGUGCACAUUUGCCUGUGUUUUAAACAUGCUAAUGUUUUAUAGCUAGUUGCCCCAUUUCUUUUCAUAUUUACGCUGUUAGUCAGGCAGAUGUCUUAAAUUUACCUAGCGGUCGGCUAGUCGCUAAUGCUAACUAGCUAGUUAAUAUCCCCGACCAUGAGCUCCCUAAAUUUCUCCCCUCCUGUUAAAGAAGAGGGGGCCUGCUGGUCGGAGAAAGAAACUCUAUGACUGAACAUUGUCGUGAAAGAGGAGAAGGAUGUCACAGUAAAAGAAACAAGUAGAGGGUGAAGCUGUUACAGACAAAGAAGAAAAGAAAGACGUUUCAGUGAAAGAAGAGGAAGACACGUUCAGAGUGAAAGAAGAGGAGGAUGUUACUGUAAAAGAAGAAGAGGAAAAGAAAGAGGAGGAUGUCGUUUUUGGAGUGAAGGAGGGAGAAGAGUAGGAGACAGGCGAUCUGAUUAAAACCAACAUGUUUUAAUGUGAGAGGAUGCCAACCCCCAGUCCCAUCAUCACCACCUCACCUGCUUUUAAGAUGACCUUUGGGCCGACUAGAGACACUAUUAUGUCAUUGUGAUGAACUGAGAUAAUAUUUAUGUAGCACUGUGAUUCAUUAAUCAUGUGCUGCCUUCCUUGCUCCUAUGUGCUUACCUCUUUCCCUUUCUGUCUUUUACACCUCUCCUUCCACCUCUGUUCAUAUAAUUCACAACAGAUGUGCAUUGAAGUACAGAUUGAACUUGUAUUUAUAACAUUUGGAUAAUGAGCUUUUCAAUAAAGUGUUCUCUACUGGUUGAAAUGAAGUGUAAUGUGAUGAAAUACUCCACCUAUCCUGUGUUUAUCAGAUCAAUGCAGAUGAAGGACAUUAGAUAUUGUGAUGAACCGGUUUUAGAGUAUUUACAUGAUGCAUAGGAAGUGUGGUGUAGUGUUUUUUAACAUUAUAUUUCUGUAUAUAUGAAUUAACUAGUUAAAUCCUGUUUCUAGUCUAUUAGUUACAAUGUGUAACCAUUGAUGUCCCAGGACCAAGAUUGGUAAACACUGUUGAAGUAUAUAAUUGUAAUACAUACAUGCAGACACAGCAUCAUUCAAAGACUGGAAUUUGAUAGUCCUGGUAUUGGAUAUGACUGAAAAAUAAUCUCAAAGACAUUCAUACCUGAACAGCACCUUUAUUUGCCAAGGUAGAGUACAUGAUCAGUGAAUAUAUUAAAUGUACAGGCUACAA